UGAGGAAUAUUGGUCAAUGGGCGAGAGCCUGAACCAGCCAUGCCGCGUGCAGGAAGAAUGCCCUAUGGGUUGUAAACUGCUUUUAUUUGGGAAUAAACUCUCCUACGUGUAGGAGCCUGAAGGUACCAAAUGAAUAAGCACCGGCUAACUCCGUGCCAGCAGCCGCGGUAAUACGGAGGGUGCAAGCGUUAUCCGGAAUCAUUGGGUUUAAAGGGUCCGCAGGCGGUCUUAUAAGUCAGUGGUGAAAGCCUAUUGCUCAACAAUAGAACUGCCAUUGAUACUGUUAGACUUGAAUUAGGUCGGAGUGGGCGGAAUAUGACAUGUAGCGGUGAAAUGCUUAGAUAUGUCAUAGAACACCGAUAGCGAAGGCAGCUCACUAGCCCUAUAUUGACGCUCAUGGACGAAAGCGUGGGGAGCAAACA
rnacentral:rRNA from 1 species